GUAUUCUUACAAGUGAAAAAACCAAACAAUUGAAGAGAUGAAGUAUUUUCAAAUUUGUUUGUUCAUUCACCUUUCCAAUAAUGAUGUUCUACUAUGGAAGGGCUAGCAGAUGACGUCAAGGAUACAGAAAAACCAAAAUGAGCAUAUUGUAUGCUUAUACAGCACCGAAAAGCUGGGCCUUCAAGUUGGUGGAAGGAACAAAGAAAAAAAAUUGGGAAGUAAGGAAUGUCUUUCAAACGCAAGCAUGCAGUUUUCCCGGGAAGAGGACCAUUACAGGAUGCAUUGAUGAUAGAGCUGAGAGAAAGGACAGUGACCUGAGUGCCAGCGACAUACACGUGCAUGGCACUAAGACUGAAUGGCUGGCAGGUGUUGUUGAAAAGUUAAACACAGGCGCACAUUAACUGGCAGAUAUAUGCAAGACAAGCUUUUCACAGACCGAGUCAAUGAUAUGAGUGAGAGGAUAUCCUUACUGCAGCUUACCUUCUAGAGGAAGACGUCAAAUGUCAAUGGAGUUCAAAAUUAAAGAUUCA